rnacentral:rRNA from 1 species
CAACCUACCCUAAAGACGAGGAUAACCAUUGGAAACAGUGGCUAAGACUGGAUAGGAAGAUAAAAGGCAUCUUUUAUCUUUUAAAAGACCUAGUAAUAGGUAUGCUUUAGGAGGGGCUUGCGCCAUAUUAGUUAGUUGGUAGGGUAAUGGCCUACCAAGACGAUGAUGUGUAGCUGGACUGAGAGGUUGAACAGCCACAUUGGGACUGAGACACGGCCCAAACUCCUACGGGAGGCAGCAGUAGGGAAUUUUCGGCAAUGGAGGAAACUCUGACCGAGCAACGCCGCGUGAAUGACGAAGUACUUCGGUAUGUAAAGUUCUUUUAUCAAGGAAGAAAAGCAAAUGGCGAACCAUUUGUUUGCCGGUACUUGAUGAAUAAGCCCCGGCUAAUUAUGUGCCAGCAGCCGCGGUAAGACAUAAGGGGCAAGUGUUAUCCGGAAUUAUUGGGCGUAAAGGGUGCGUAGGCGGUCUAGUAAGUCAGUGGUGUAAUGGCAACGCUUAACGUUGUCCGGCUAUUGAAACUGCUAAACUUGAGUUAGAUAGAGGCGAGUGGAAUUCCAUGUGUAGCGGUAAAAUGCGUAAAUAUAUGGAGGAACACCAGAGGCGUAGGCGGCUCGCUGGGUCUUAACUGACGCUGAGGCACGAAAGCGUGGGGAGCAAACAGGAUUAGAUACCCUGGUAGUCCACGCCGUAAACGAUGAGUACUAAGUGUCGGGUUAAACCGGUACUGAAGUUAACACAUUAAGUACUCCGCCUGAGUAGUACGUACGCAAGUAUGAAACUUAAAGGAAUUGACGGGACUCCGCACAAGCGGUGGAUCAUGUUGUUUAAUUCGAAGAUACCCGAAAAACCUUACCAGGUCUUGACAUGUUUUUGCAAAAUGAUAGUAAUAUCGUGGAGGUUACCAGAAACACAGGUGGUGCAUGGUUGUCGUCAGCUCGUGUCGUGAGAUGUUAGGUUAAGUCCUAAAACGAGCGAAACCCUUAUCGUUAGUUGCCAGCACGUUAUGGUGGGGACUUUAACGAGACUGCCAAUGAUAAAUUGGAGGAAGGUGAGGAUCACGUCAAAUCAGCAUGCCCCUUAUGACCUGGGCUACAAACGUGAUACAAUGGCUGUUACAAAGGGUAGCUGAAACGCAAGUUCUUGGCCAAUCCCCAAAAACAGUCCCAGUCCGGAUUGAAGUCUGCAACUCGACUUCAUGAAGUUGGAAUCGCUAGUAAUCGCGAAUCAGCAUGUCGCGGUGAAUACGUUCUCGGGGUUUGUACACACCGCCCGUCAAACCACGAAAGUUGGCAAUACCCCAAAACGGUAGCCU